UACGAAGGGGCCUAGCGUUGCUCGGAAUCACUGGGCGUAAGGUGCGUAGGCGGGUUCUAAGGUCAGAGGUGAAAGCCUGGAGCUCAACUCCAGUAACUGCCUUUGAUACUGGAAGUCUUGUAGUAUGGCAGAGGUGAGUGGAACUGCGAGUGUAGAGGUGAAAUUCGUAGAUAAUUCGCAAGAACACCAGUGGCGGAAGGCGGCUCCACUGGGCCAUUACUGACGCUGAAGGCACGGAAAGCGUGGGAGCAAACACGG
rnacentral:rRNA from 1 species